UAUUUUUUAAGGUAAAAGGCAUAGUAAUUUUUGAAAUUCCAAGAUAUAGUUUAAUUCUAUAAAAUAUAA
rnacentral:tRNA from 1 species